ensembl:snRNA RNU6-20P RNA, U6 small nuclear 20, pseudogene
GUGCUCGCUUUGGCAGUACAUAUACUAAAAUUGGAACGAUACAGAGAAGAUUAGCAUGGCCCCUGCACAAGGAUGACAUGCAAAUUCGUGAAGCGUUCCAUAUUUUU